rnacentral:rRNA from 1 species
GAUGAACGCUGGCGGCGUGCCUAAUACAUGCAAGUCGAGCGAACAGAUGAGGAGCUUGCUCCUCUGACGUUAGCGGCGGACGGGUGAGUAACACGUGGAUCACCUACCUAUAAGACUGGGAUAACUUCGGGAAACCGGAGCUAAUACCGGAUAAUAUAUUGAACCGCAUUGUUCAAUAGUGAAAGACGGUUUUGCUGUCACUUAUAGAUGGAUCCGCGGCGCAUUAGCUAGUUGGUAAGGUAACGGCUUACCAAGGCAACGAUGCGUAGCCGACCUGAGAGGGUGAGCGGCCACACUGGAACUGAGGCACGGUCCAGACUCCUACGGGAGGCAGCAGUAGGGAAUCUUCCGCAAUGGGCGAAAGCCUGACGGAGCAACGCCGCGUGAGUGAUGAAGGUCUGCGGAUCGUAAAACUCUGUUAUUAGGGAAGAACAAAAGUGUAAGUAACUAUGCACGUCUUGACGGUACCUAAUCAGAAAGCCACGGCUAACUUCGUG